rnacentral:rRNA from 1 species
UUAGGAAUAUUCGUCAAUGGGGGAAACCCUGAACGAGCAAUGCCGCGUGAGUGAUGAAGGUCUUAUUGAUCGUAAAACUCUGUUGCAGAGGAAGAAACCUUAUCAUAGGUAAUGAUGAUAAGCUGACGGUACUCUGCCAGAAAGCCCCGGCUAACUACGUGCCAGCAGCCGCGGUAAUACGUAGGGGGCGAGCGUUAUCCGGAUUUAUUGGGCGUAAAGCGUGUGUAGGCGGUUUAUUAAGUUUAAGAUUAAAGCCCGGAGCUUAACUCCGGUUCGUCUUAAAAACUGGUAGACUUGAGUGUAGUAGAGGCAAGUGGAAUUUCUAGUGUAGCGGUUAAAUGCGUAGAUAUUAGAAGGAACACCAGUGGCGAAGGCGGCUUGCUGGGCUAUUACUGACGCUGAGACACGAAAGCGUGGGGAGCAAAUAGG